CCUAGGUGCGGGUGUGUGUAGGUGUUUGCGGUUCAGUGCUGUCUUAUUGUCGUUUGGGCUCCGGCUCCGGCUUAGUGCGCACUUGCUGUUGGUUGUUUUGAGGGUGUGUAGGGUAAUGGACAGGUGUCCCGGUUAUUCGGCCUAUAGGUCUCACCAAGUGGUGUGCCUACGUCCGUGCCGGGUGUAGUACGUCCCCUUUGGAGUGGGGAUAUUCGUGUCCUAUGCCUAUUGGGGUUUCGGGCUUUAUGCCCCGGUGUGUCUGGUCCGCCUUGUGACAUCGGUCCGUGCUGUGUAGGUGAGGGGUGUGUUACCUGGUUCGGUAUGUAGGGUGUGGUCGCAUGUCUCCUUAGUGGCUAUGAUAUUGGAGCAUCCGCUCCCUCUCUUCG